AACGAACGCUGGCGGCGUGGCUAUGGCAUGCAAGUCGUACGGACUUUGUUUGAGAGUAAUCGAUGACAAAGUUAGUGGCGGACGGGUGAGUAAUGCGUGGGUAACGUACCUCGUACACAGGGAUAGCGGCGCCCUUCGGGGCUUUAGCGAAAGUGCCGGUAAUACCUGAUAAUAUCCUGGAGUCUCAUGGUUUCGGGAUCAAAGGUGGGGACCCUUCGGGGCCUGCUGGUAUGGGAUCGGCCCACGUCCUAUCAGCUUGUUGGUGGGGUAACGGCCUACCAAGGCGAUGACGGGUAGCCGGCGUGAGAGCGCGACCGGCCACAUCGGGACUGAGACACUGCCCGGACACCUACGGGUGGCUGCAGCAACGAAUAUUCCGCAAUGGGCGAAAGCCUGACGGAGCGACGCCGCGUGGAGGAUGAAGUCCUUCGGGAUGUAAACUCCAAUAGUUUGCUAGGAAGCAAUCCGGCUGAAUAGGCCGGUGCGUUGACCCGCAUACGAAAGGGGUGGCUAACUCCGUGCCAGCAGCCGCGGUAACACGGAGACCCCUAGCGUUGUUCGGAUUUACUGGGCUUAAAGCGGGUGUAGGCGGAGCGGAAGGUACCUUGUGAAAGCCCCGGGCUCAACUCGGGAAUUGCUCGGUAUACUAUCG
rnacentral:rRNA from 1 species